UCCGUCUUCUCAAACGAUAGAUGGCAUGAACCAGAACCUCGUACCCAGGAAGGGUCACAGACAGAUCAAAGAGCUCAACACGGGUCUCGAAUCACGCUCCUCUCACAGUGCUGAAUGCUGACACCACCUUUCUGCAUCUAUCUAUGCGCAAGUUACCCCCCCCUUACAUACGGAUACCAAGGAUGCCAGCCAUGCCAGAUCAAACUCACCGUAAGGAGCCCGCUCUCACAUGGUUUCUUCUCCGAAACCCUGCACGCCCUACAGACUGGAGGUGACAACACAAUCCCAAAGAGAGCACACCAAAAGAAGACAAGCAAACCCACAUGAUGAAUGGAGAGAAAUGUUCUUUAGGACCAUGUCAGGCUUCAGCGCCAGUCACAGAGAGAUGGGAAAACUCACUUCCACGAUGAUGCUGACAGUACAUCCCUCACAACCCCACAGCCCUCUGUGGAGGAGAACACCGGCUGAGAACAAACGUUAAGUAAAGUAAGAUGUCAUCGUAUGUGCGCACCCAGAUGGAGACUUGUGGGAACUAGCCAAAAGCUUGUCAAGACUUUAACAUGGCUUGAAAAAAAAAAACUCACCCACCAAAUCUCUUAACUACACAGUUUUAAAAUAAACUCCGACACUUCUCUUAAACAAGGGCUGUGCCUACAACAGAUCUGACGUUCUGUGUAUCUUAUGCACUGAGCUGCCUGCAGUAAACUUCACCCUUCACCAAAUGCCAUAUUUUUUACCCCAAGGUGAGUUAUCCCUGCAUUCUUCUGAGAGCAUGCCCAUGAUCUGUGAUUUUCUCUGAAGAGAACUUUUCAUCUGAAUCACUCAGUUCACAGUGGCAAAUGUUCUCACAGAGGGGAAACAAGCAAGAACCUGGACUUCAUUUGCUUGUCGCCCCCCACACACUUCCCCCCACACACAUAUUUCAAGUAUUCAUAACCAUUAAAAAAGAAACAAUCACUUUCUAUUUGUGUGUUGACAACCACACAGGACAAACAAGAAAUAUUUGUCAGAGUUCUUCAGCUAUCCUCAUAGGCUCCCAAAAGGAAGCAGACUGCUCCAAACACAAUCAAAUGACGAAUUAGCCCAGAGCUCCUCUGUAAGAAAAAUAAAUUGUUCUCACUUCC